UAUCUUUUUAGCUUCUCCCUCGCAUAGACACCUGUACUUCACUUGAAAUUCAUUCCCGUAAUUUUUUUUCUCUAUCUUUUCUAUUUUCGUUUUCAACUCUCGUUCGUGGUCAGUCUCUUUUCUCCUCCUCACUUGUGUCUUCUUCUUCUCUAUUAGAAACCAUCUAUGCAAAUUUGAAGCUAUUUUGAAAUGUUUGCCGAGUACUAUCAACAAGUUUCUGUUCUUGCUCUCAAGCCUCAAGGGUAUUUGUGUUUUCACUGCUAUUGUGUUCAAGUUAUAGGAUGGAGUAUAUCACUGACGAGAAGUGUGAGACAAUGUCGUCAACAAGAUUACUGAAUGUAAAGAUCAAAGCACUACUCUGCUUUGAGCAAGAAAGAAUGAUAUGGAUUUGUCACCUGCAACUGCCCUUUCUUUUUUACAACGACCUUUUGGAUUUUAAAAUCUUGCAGAGGUUUGGAAUCACUAUCAUUAGAUUUUCAGUGGUUUAUAUUAUUUUGCCUUACAACCAUUUUCAGUGAAACUGAAUAGACGAUAGUCAUGGACGUGGACUACUUUUGGACAAUCUUUUGGAUCUUCCACGUGCUCCUUAAAUUAAGGAUGGAGUGUCCCAAGCUUGAUAAAGUUCUUGACUCCUGCAUCCGGGUGUGCAAAGAUAUUGGGAUCCGUAUCCAUAGAUAUGGUUCUUAGACCAACUUGUAUGGUUUAUCCACCAUUGGCAUCUCAAAGCUAGGCAAAUUGGAAAUUGGAGGGACAGAGCACCAAACAAUGUUCAACUUCGCCAACUUCAUGUUUGACUAGCUUUAUUACGACAAAAGACACGAUUAUUAUAUUGAAUGUCACUGAAUUUUUCUCCCCUGCUGAAACACAUCCCCUUCAUGCAAUAUAUUUGGAGACAUUUGUUGAGCAGGAUCGCCUGCUCAAUGGCACCAAUAUUUGGAACCUGCCAGUCUCUUACAAUAAGCUGUGUUUUGAGGCUGUAGAUAGUGGAGCGAAAGACCUACCAUUCAGCAGAUAAACAUAGUUACAUCAACUACCAAGCUUUACUUUUCAAGAUGACUUUGAUCUCUUCAUUGUCAGGUCGUGGUGAAAUUCAGUUAAGUUGUUGAGAAGUUCUUUCACUUACUGUAGUUACCAUAUUUUUUCUUGUGAGGAGCCGCCUCAUCACUCUACAACUAAAUUUGUGCAUUAUAAUCAUUAUAGUCGGAAAGGAUCAAAGUUCCUUAUAUCGUGCAGCCUCAAGGCAAUGUCAUGCUACAAUAUCUAUGUGACAAGGUAUGCUCAGUGCUCUCUAGCUAAAGAAAAUGUCUUUCUAUUCUUUAGUCGUAUGUUCUUUAUCCUCUUCCGAGUGGUGUGCACUUCUGUAUACCAAGCCAUAUUCGAAGCUAACAAAUACAUAUCUGAUACAGAAAAUUCCUUUCUUUUUUUGAAAUUAGAUUUUUGAUACAGAAAAUUAUUAUGGCAAUUGAUUAAUAUAUCCACUUCACAUAUAUUUUGGCUACCAUUGUAAUUGGAAAGCCACAGGCAUCGUGAAACAAUCACUUGAUCCCCAAUCCCGUGGGUUUAGUCCUAAUUUACCGUGGCAAGGUAAUAGUACCAUUUAGAGAUGGUUGGUUUACAUUUAACAUCCUUAAUGGAAAUGGUAAUCUUGAUAUGACUUUCCUAUUUGUGUCUGCCUUCAAAAUGUAUAUCUCAGGGCACGUAGGCUACAAAAUAGAUUCAAAAAAAUUUCUACAUGGGAACCAUUAGGAAUAGGUUUAUUCAGAAUUCUUUCUUGACUUGGAUAUUGGGCAUAGUUUCAAUUACUAUAUGACUAUCCAAAUGAUUGGUGGAUCAUUGUUCUAACCCACCGGAUGUCCUUUAGCAGUUGCAAUGCUAGGGAAAUGGUUUUGCAACGAAGAGGUGACUUAUAAUGGGUAUUUAGCAUGCUCACACAUCUAUUGGAAACCUUACGGGGUACAUAUUCGCAUCAAUAUUAUUUGAACUACGGAUGGGGUCGGUCAAUGAUUGUUGCUGAUAUCCUUAUUGAUUUUAGUAACAUGAUAGUGUUCAUAUUCUUACCUGUUUAUCCGAAAUCAUUUUGGGUAAUGAAGAUGAAGUGUUAUCGCCAGGAAAAAGAAGACGAGGAAUUGAAUAAACCUCUCUUAAGAUCAAACAGAAAAGAGAAUCAGUUGUGGGUUUUAGAGAAGCAUAGAGGAUUCCAGGUGUUGCGUCAUUUGCUUUUUGCAUUUUUUGGUUGCUUACACAUUUCUCUAUCGUGCUUCCUGUACUAUAUUAGCCAUACAAACAUGCUAACUGCUCUACAUUUGUAAUGUUAGAUAUGUCGUCUUGUUGUUUUCUUACUCUAUUAUGUAAAAGUGUAUCUUGAUCCUUUUGUGACGAUACUUGUCCCGAGGAAUCUGGUAACUUAUCAACAUUGUUUGAUGUCAAAGGGGUAGUAGGUGGAAUCCUCAUAGGUCAUAUAUCCUAGCUCCAUGCCUAUUCCAAAGCUACGAACACAUCUCCGUGACUAUAAACAUUAUCCUCAUAAUAGCCUAACAUGUGUAUUAGAUGAGAACUUAACCUUUUGAAUACUUUUAGGACAUGAAUUUGAAAUAAAUAAAGACCACCUUGUCAGUACACAUUUCACUUCCAUCUAUAAUUUCUAUCAUCCAAUUCUCCCUCUAGCUUCUCCAUUUAUUGAUUCGAUUUGUCAAUAUAAAUAGUUUUUUUUGUGACUACCUUGUAAUGUGGAUGUAUAAUUCAAUCAAUCAUCAUUAAGCUUUAUUGAGGUUUAACAACUUAAUUCUUGUGUUAUUUGUUUAUUUAUUUGUAACUCCUGACAUUCUUCUCUUGAACAUGUCAUUCGAGGAGCUUUGAGAUUUUCUAUUUUUGCUAAUGCAGUACUGACACUAGAAGUUUGUUCCUAUACAAUAUAACUGGUUUUCCAUUCUAUUUUUUCUCUAAAAAGAUUGCACACUGGCCUUUACCCUUUUAGGAAUAUUGCUUCAAUUGUCUUGCAGAAUUUUACAGGAGAUUUUUAAAAUGAUUAGAAAAUAUUUAUUGGACAUCAUAUUUGGCAAAUACUUAUGGAAUAUGAAGCGCGUGAUAUUGCUACUUAAGGUUUAAGGUAAACAUAGAUUACCACUCUAACCUGUCUUUGCUGGUAGAUUAAUGUAAUGUGGUCGCAUUGGUUAUUUCACUGAAUAGUAACUAAUUUGGAGUCAGUAGUAAAAAUCUAAAAGAUUCAUAACCUUUUGCAUAUCAGUUGGUAUCAGCUGUCGAGCAAAAUUUGUUCAAAAUAUUAUAGUCUUCAUGUAUGAUGAAUGCAUUGCUUACAAUGAAGAGAAUCCAAUAUCAGAAUUCUCAUUAAUAAUCCUGCUGGUGAGGAUGUUUACAAAGGAGUCUCUAAGGUAGGUGUUUCUUGUCAUUGUUUAGUAUGUUCCUAGCUCAAUUUUUUUCGUCAAUGCACCAUUUUAGCUAAAGAUAGAAUGUCGUAUUUGUAGUAUUAAUGGGAGCAACUUUCGUUAUUGGUUUGUUUUUGACCUUCUAGAUAUAUUGUUUAUGUGUGUAUUUAUUGUGGUUCAGGUUGUAUAUUAUUAGAGACAUCGGAGGGUGGUGGAGAAAGAACACAUAAUAGCGUUAUGCGUAUAUGACCUAUGAAGACAUUCUCCGGCAUAAACUUAUUAAACAAACUUUUUGCAGUUGUGUAUAUGUUCAUGCUGCCACUACUUUAAAGUGUAAAAUGUUGGGCCCGUGCUUAGCACGGGCAACACUCAUCUAGUAUAUAUAUAUAUAUUACAUUACAUACCCCUCA